rnacentral:rRNA from 1 species
UACGUAGGGAGCGAGCGUUGUCCGAAGUUACUGGGCGUAAAGCGCGCGUAGGCGGGUUAUUAAGUGAGAGGUGAAAUUCCAGGGCUCAACCCCGGAACUGCCUCUCAUACUGAUAGUCUUGAGUGAGGUAGAGAGAAGUGGAAUGGCUGGUGUAGCGGUGAAAUGCGUAGAUAUCAGUCGGAACACCGGUGGCGAAGGCGGCUUCUUGGGCCUUUACUGACGCUGAUGCGCGAAAGCCAGGGGAGCGAACGGG